UGGUUGGUGGCUCAGUGGCAAGAGUUUAGGGCUUGUAACCGAAAGGUCUUGAGUGCGAAUCUCUCAAGACCAG
rnacentral:tRNA from 1 species